rnacentral:tRNA from 1 species
UAUGCCAUCUCGUGUCACCAGUUCAAAUCUGGUUCCUG